AUGUGGCAUAAUGAUGUUGCUCUUUUUUCCCCGUCUUAUCGACCAUGGUGACCAAACCGAAAUUAAGCCAAAUUGACUGAAGCCACAU